rnacentral:rRNA from 1 species
UACGUAGGCAGCAAGCGUUGUUCGGAAUUACUGGGCGUAAAGAGUGUGUAGGCGGUUCUCUAUGUUCGGUGUGAAAUCUCCCGGCUUAACUGGGAGGGUGCGCCGAAAACUGGAGGCUUGAGUAUGGGAGAGGAAAGCGGAAUUCCUGGUGUAGCGGUGAAAUGCGUAGAGUAUCAGGAGGAACACCUGCGGUGUAGACGGCUUUCUGGACCAUCACUGACGCUGAGACACGAAAGCGUGGGUAGCAAACAGG